CCUACGGGUAGCAGCAGUGGGGCAUAUUACACAAUGGGGGGAACCCUGAUGCAGCGACGCUGCGUGAGCGAGGAAGUAUUUCGGUAUGUAAAGCUCUAUCAGCAGGGACGAAACAAGACGGUACCUGACUAAGAAGCCACGGCUACCUAAGUGCCAGCAGCCGAGGUAAUACGUAGGCGGCAAGCGUUAUCCGGAUUUACUGGGUGUAAAGGGAGCGUAGACGGCAAGGCACGCUAGAAGUGAAAGGGCAGGGCUCAACCCUGUACAUGCUUUUGGAACUGUGGUGCUAGAGUGCAGGAGAGGUAAGUGGAAUUCCUAGGGUAGCGGUGCAAUGCGUAGAUAUUAGGAGGAACACCAGUGGCGAAGGUGGCUUACUGGACUGUAACUGACGUUGAGGCUCGAAAGCGUGGGGAGCAAACAGGAUUAGAUACCCAAGUAGUC
rnacentral:rRNA from 1 species